GGAAGGUGAGAUUGUUGUCUGUGCGUUGUUCGUGUUUCCUGUUUGUAUUAUGUUUAGUUUAUUUAUUAAAUUAUUCGCUCCCUGAACUUGCUUCCCAGGGCAACGCUACAACCCCUCUGUGUUAAGGUGCUUCCCAGGGCAACGCUACAACCCCUCUGUGUUAAGGUGCUUCCCAGGGCAACGCUACAACCCCUCUGUGUUAAGGUGCUUCCCAGGGCAACGCUACAACCCCUCUGUGUUAAGGUGCUUCCCAGGGCAACGCUACAACCCCUCUGUGUUAAGGUGCUUCCCAGGGCAACGCUACAACCCCUCUGUGUUAAGGUGCUUCCCAGGGCAACGCUACAACCCCUCUGUGUUAAGGUGCUUCCCAGGGCAACGCUACAACCCCUCUGUGUUAAGGUGCUUCCCAGGGCAACGCUACAACCCCUCUGUGUUAAGGUGCUUCCCAGGGCAACGCUACAACCCCUCUGUGUUAAGGUGCUUCCCAGGGCAACGCUACAACCCCUCUGUGUUAAGGUGCUUCCCAGGGCAACGCUACAACCCCUCGGUGUUAAGGUGCUUCCCAGGGCAACGCUACAACCCCUCUGUGUUAAGGUGCUUCCCAGGGCAACGUUACAUCCCCUCUGUGUUAAGGUGCUUCCCAGGGCAACGCUACAACCCCUCUGUGUUAAGGUGCUUCCCAGAGCAACGCUACAACCCCUCUGUGUUAAGGUGCUUCCCAGGGCAACGCUACAACCCCUCUGUGUUAAGGUGCUUCCCAGGGCAACGCUACAACCCCUCUGUGUUAAGGUGCUUCCCAGGGCAACGCUACAACCCCUCUGUGUUAAGGUGCUUCCCAGGGCAACGCUACAACCCCUCUGUGUUAAGGUGCAACGCUACAACCCCUCUGUGUUAAGGUGCAACGCUACAACCCCUCUGUGUUAAGGUGCUUCCCAGGGCAACGCUACAACCCCUCUGUGUUAAGGUGCUUCCCAGGGCAACGCUACAACCCCUCUGUGUUAAGGUGCUUCCCAGGGCAACGCUACAACCCCUCUGUGUUAAGGUGCUUCCCAGGGCAACGCUACAACCCCUCUGUGUUAAGGUGCUUCCCAGGGCAACGCUACAACCCCUCUGUGUUAAGGUGCUUCCCAGGGCAACGCUACAACCCCUCUGUGUUAAGGUGCUUCCCAGGGCAACGUUACAUCCCCUCUGUGUUA